rnacentral:lncRNA from 1 species
GCUGGCUGCAGUCCUGCGCCUCAAAGUUCUCUCUCUCGUCCUAUGGGCUCAGCUGAAUUUAUUCUCCACUGCAAGAGCACAGCUCCAGGGUUGGGAGUGAGGACUGGGAAGAGGAUGCUGCUGUUGUCUUGCCUUCUGUGGGGAGGAGCAGAACAACCUGACAAACCACUGGAUUUGAAACACUGAUCAGAACAGUUUGGAAGGCAUGUGUUUCCCCCACCUCAGGAGAGAGGCUUCUACAGGAAACUAUUCAAUUUGGAAAAGGAGCAAGGACUAAUUCCAGAGCUUAACUACAUUUGAAGGACCAUGUCUCACAUGUAACUUGUGCAGUGGUGGUUCUGCUACUUUGCAGAAUUCUUGAGUCAGUUGUAUACUUAUUACAAUUGUGUUUCUCCUUGUUAUGUGUUGAUUGUGACCCC